rnacentral:rRNA from 1 species
UACGGAGGGGGCUAGCGUUGUUCGGAAUUACUGGGCGUAAAGCGCGCGUAGGCGGCUUUGUAAGUUAGAGGUGAAAGCCCGGAGCUCAACUCCAGAACUGCCUUUGAUACUGAGAAGCUUGAGUCCGGGAGAGGUGAGUGGAACUGCGAGUGUAGAGGUGAAAUUCGUAGAUAUUCGCAAGAACACCAGUGGCGAAGGCGGCUCACUGGCCCGGUACUGACGCUGAGGUGCGAAAGCGUGGGGAGCAAACAGG